AUGACUAGGCUGCUAAAUCGAUCUUUCUCUAUCUGUAACCUUCAACCUUACUUGGAUAAAGGGGCUGCUACGUUAGGAGCUUGGAAAGGAAGGCUUUUGCAACAAACCGGGAGGCUGGCUCUCAUCAAUUCGGUGGUCACUAGCACGGUGACCUUCUUUCUGACGAUCUUUGCGCCUUACAAGUGGUUCAUUAAUAAAUUUGACGAACUAAGAAGAAACUUUCUGUGGAAUGCCGACGAGGAAGCUCAUGGGGCCAAAUGUUUGGUGAAUUGGAAGCGAAUCUGCGCACCCAAAGCAGUUGGAGGACUAGGCAUCAAAAACCUUUCCGCCUUCAGCACGGCCCUGCGGCUGCGCUGGCCCUGGUUUGAGUGGGAUGAUAUGGACAGACCGUGGAAGGGGACUCCUACACCGUGUGACGCUGCUGAUCAACAACUCUUUCAGUCAUGCACAAAUAUUAAUGUUGGAAAUGGAGCGAGAACCACUUUCUGGACUGACCGUUGGCUGGAUGGAGUGGCACCUAUGGAUUUGGCACCUGGCCUCUAUAACAUUGCGAAACACAAGAUGAUUUCUGUGGCUGAUGCUAUUCGCGAGGGUGGAUGGAUGAAGGGGCUGCAGCGCAUGGCCUCGGCUGAUCUGCUGCAGGCAUUUGUUUCUCUUUGGCAUAAAGUUCAGCAAUUCAGCUUAAAUGGAGAGGAGGAUAAGAUCACUUGGAACAUCUCGGCCAAUGGGAACUACUCGGCCAAGUCUGCAUAUGAGCAGCAAUUCAUUGCGCGUAUUCCAGUGCCGCGCUUAUUAAGAGUGUGGAAGGUGAAGGCUGAAUCUAAGGUCCAAUUCUCCUCUUCUAUCAACACCUGGUGGGAUAAGACAUUCAAACUAAAGAAAAAAGGAGUUUUGCUGGACGAGUGUACGGGGGCUGUGUACGUAGCUUGGAACCUAUGGAACGAGCGCAACAGGCGGAUCUUUCAGAAUCAACGGCGCUCUGCCGCGGGAGUAUGUUCUUUGAUUAGGGAUGAAUUAGGCCUCCUGAAGGAGGCAUGGGAGUAG
rnacentral:rRNA from 1 species